rnacentral:sRNA from 1 species
CCACCCAAUGCGCCGCCCACACCAGCCGUCAGGUUGUCGCCAGCAGAGGCGAAACCGGUGGCCAGGGAGAGGGACAACAACAGAAUCGAGGAAUACUUCAUGUAUGGAUGCUCGUAGGGAUGACGACGCGAUCCUGCAAGUAUGAAGAAAAUGUCACAAUCGAAAUCCGACGAAUAACACGACUUGUAUACAAAUUGCUAACUUAUUGUUUUUAGCCGGGAACUUAAGCGGUUUUGCUGAGUCUUAGAUUACUUCAGACAGGCCCGAAUCACGCGAUUCGGGCCUUUUUUGUGGGCGAAUGAGUGGCAGGCGUGUAGGGCGUUUCGCGCGAAUGGGUGUGAAUAUGCCCUCCCGCAGAAU